rnacentral:misc_RNA from 1 species
GAAAUGCGAUACGUAAUGCGAAUUGCAGAAUCCAGUGAGUCAUCGAAUCUUUGAACGCACAUUGCGCCCGGUGGCAAUCCGCCGGGCAUGCCUGUCCGAGCGUCGUCUCAAACCCUCGAGCCCCUUAGGGCUCGGUGUUGGCGGCCUACGCCCCGUCGUAGCCGUCCAAAUGCAGUGGCGGUCCCGUCCGCGGCCCUUUGCGCAGUAACAAUGCUCGCACCGGGUCCGGGAGGUGGCCUGCCGUAAAACAACCAAGACAAACGCGACCUAGCAAGGUUGACCUCGGAUCAGGUAGGGUUACCCGCUGAACUUAA